GACGAACGCUGGCGGCGUGCUUAACACAUGCAAGUCGAACGAUGAAACCUAGCUUGCUAGGUCGAUUAGUGGCGAACGGGUGAGUAACACGUGACUAACCUGCCCCUUUCUCUGGGAUAACGCUUCGAAAGGAGUGCUAAUACCGGAUACUCACAUCGAGGCACAUGCCUUGAUGUGGAAAGUUUUUCGGAAAGGGAUGGAGUCGCGGCCUAUCAGCUUGUUGGUGAGGUAACGGCUCACCAAGGCGACGACGGGUAGCCGGCCUGAGAGGGCGACCGGCCACACUGGGACUGAGACACGGCCCAGGCUCCUACGGGAGGCAGCAGUGGGGAAUAUUGCACAAUGGGCGCAAGCCUGAUGCAGCGACGCCGCGUGAGGGAUGAAGGUCUUCGGAUUGUAAACCUCUUUCAGUAGGGACGAAGCGAAAGUGACGGUACCUAAAGAAGAAGCACCGGCUAACUACGUGCCAGCAGCCGCGGUAA
rnacentral:rRNA from 1 species